GUCACGCCCGCUGCGUUUGAUGUUCAUUGAGACCAUGAGGUAUCGUCGAGCUCUAGACGUUAAAUUAAGCACUUGUUGGGAGGUAACCCAACUGUUUUUCUUUGUUUUGUUUUUCUUUCUUUUAGUUUCGUUUUGUUUCUUUUUGUUUCUUUGUUUUGUUUGGGGUUUUUAGUGCAGUGUUGAGCUUGGAAGAUGCGGGAACUCGCGCCUUGUUCAUACCACCACCAUGGAGCAUGUUUUUCUGUGAGUAGUGACACACAUAUCAUCAUCCCUCCAAACUUAUUUUCGAACUUAUGUUCUGUAAU
rnacentral:lncRNA from 1 species